rnacentral:pre_miRNA from 1 species
UCUCGGGCGGCGAUUCUUUAGAGGGAUGCACUUUUUGUUGACUUGAAAGAAAGAAGGUGCGUCUCUUUAGAGGAUUACUGUUUGAGA